GUCGAGAAUAAUUCACAAUGGACGAAAGUCUGAUGGUGCAACGCCGCGUGGAGGAUGAAGGUCUUCGGAUUGUAAACUCCUGUCAUCGGGGAGUAAGACCUGGCGGUAAAUAGCCGACAGGGUUGAUAGUACCCGAAGAGGAAGGGACGGCUAACUUCGUGCCAGCAGCCGCGGUAAUACGAAGGUCCCAAGCGUUGUUCGGAAUCACUGGGCGUAAAGGGAGCGUAGGCGGCGUGGUAAGUCAGAUGUGAAAUCCCGGGGCUCAACCCCGGAACUGCAUCCGAUACUGCCAUGCUUGAGGGUUGGAGAGGUAGCUGGAAUUCUCGGUGUAGCAGUGAAAUGCGUGGAUAUCGAGAGGAACACUCGUGGCGAAGGCGAGCUACUGAACAACAUCUGACGCUGAGGCUCGAAGGCCAGGGGAGCAAAAGGGAUUAGAAACCCGGGUAGUCC
rnacentral:rRNA from 1 species